rnacentral:rRNA from 1 species
AAAUGCGAUCGUACUAACUCACAUGCACUGGAAUCGGAUUUCAACAGAACUCCGAAAUUAAACGAGAUUGAGCGAGAGUAGUACUAGGAUAAGGUGAUCUCUUGGAAAGUCCUCAUGUUGUAUCCC